CAGCGCGAAUUAUUACUCUGCAGCGGAAUAUAAGCUGAAAAAGAAAGAGUGAAACGCGGUGACAUUAACUUAAUGACAACGGAGCCACCCACUCUCCGUUCAAUCCCGUCUUUCGGCGUUUCGUCGCUCCGCCGCUCAUACAGCUGCUACAACUGCAACUACUCCUUCCAUAUAACUCCCACAACUAACACAUCCCUCGCUCCCCCGUCUUCUUUCCGCUGCCCUCGAUGCCACCACCGCCACCUCAUCCCCCACCACACCAUUUCUUUAUCGCCUCCUUCGUCCGCGCUUCCCACGCGGGAUAACGAUUAUUCUCCUGCUAUCACCAGCUUUGAAUAUCAGACCUCCGAUGACUCCGAUUCCGACGACGAUGAUGAUUCCGAUAAUUCCCUUCUAUCAUUCACGUUCCCCAAUUCGCAUCAGUUCACGCCUGCUUUGACUUCGUUCGUGGACUCUCUUCCGCUUGUGAAAUUUCCCCCAAACUCAACUCUGUCGGCGCAGUCGUGCCCAAUUUGCAUAGAGGAUUUUGAGGUUAAUUCUGAUACUUCUGGAGCAGUCAACGAGUUGCCUUGCAAGCAUUAUUUUCACAAGGAUUGUAUUGUUCAAUGGCUUCAAAGGAGUAGUACUUGCCCCUUGUGCCGCCACAAAUUGCCCUCCAAUCGCAGUCCGGAGAAGGGCAUUAAUCGCGGCACUACUGAAUCGGAGGCAGGGUACGAUGCAAUUUUGGUGGUUGAUUUUGCUUCGGUGAGGGAGCCGGCGCUGAGUAGUACUAGUGGUAGUGGUGAUGGGAGCCUAGAUUCCAAUGUGGCAGUUUCUGGCUCUGAUAGACGGGUUUUGAGUGCGUAUGGCGGGGAAUUAAGUGGGUGGGAACUUGAUGCAAUGCACGAUGAGGAUGGAGAUACCUUGAUGAUGGACGCCUGACAAUGGUGAUAUUCGAUUUGAUCUUUUGGUAAAUGUAAAAGCAGUCUUCUGAAAAUAUUUUGGAGUUGUUUCUUCUAGGAGCUUGCAAUCAUGGUCGGGGACAGCGUCUUCUGUACAGAGUUUUGUCGUUUUAGUAGCCUUUUGCAAAUUUAGUGCAAUUGGAGCAGGGAUGGACCAAUAGAUAGACAGUGCGUGUCUUCCCCCCUCCCUCUGGCAGUGAACUCCUUAUUUUGCUUUGAGCGUGAAAACUGUUGGCUCUCGUCGUCAAUUGGUUUUGGAUGAAGCAACUGAAAAUGGGCCCAAUGGCUAAGUCUUGAAUAAGGUAUGUACUCUUGGGCCAUUGUAGCGCCUCUGUCAUGGUUACUGAUAUAUGUGGAAAUGUUGAAAAAUAAUAAUGGACAGAGGCGCAGAGUUAAAAAGUGGUUCUACCUCACAGUUUUGAGAAUCGUAUCUGUUAAAUUGCUAACGAUUUCUUGUUACUUGUUAGGAAUGAUUGAGCACAACUGUGUAAGAAACUCUAGCUAUUGAUGAAAAGUGUUGGCGCAUUGGUUAAAUAAUGUGAAAACCUAAAGAACUUGUGUGAGAAAAUCCAUGUACAUAUUCAUAAUUUUUUAAUGGUUAGCCGAACUGAUGUAAAUUCGAGUUUUUACAUAAGAAAUGGUCGGUUAAUCUAA